rnacentral:rRNA from 1 species
GAUUAGAUACCCCCGUAGUCCUAGCCGUAAACGAUACUCGCUAGGUGUCGGCCACGGUGCGACCGUGGUCGGUGCCGUAGGGAAGCCGUGAAGCGAGCCACCUGGGAAGUACGGCCGCAAGGCUGAAACUUAAAGGAAUUGGCGGGGAGCACCACAACGGGUGGAGCUUGCGGUUUAAUUGGAUUCAACGCCGGAAAUCUUACCGGGACCGACAGCAAUAUGAAGGCCAGGCUGAAGACUUUGCCGGAUUAGCUGAGAGGAGGUGCAUGGC